CUUUAUUCAUCAAAGUACAACAAACAUGGACAUCCAUCCACAUGAAGAUGACCGGGGGUAUCACUAGACUAGCAUCCAUGGAGCUCAGCAUCAUAUCUUCAUCUGCAACUUCUGAUCAAAAUUAAGCAAGGGUGAGCUCACUUAUGGUCGGGGCUCAGCAAGUGGGGGAGAAACUAAUGCAAGGUAACAAGGUGAGGCUAAGGUUGAGCAGUAAGCAUUUUAGUUGGUCAACAUUUUAUUAACAACACCUGUCCUACUAAUAAGUGUGAAUCCCAAGUAUUCCCAUUAAACAAAGUUACAAGAGUAUAUCAAAAACACUUAAGUGAAACCACUUAAGAAAACCAUUGGUAGAUCAUCGGAUCUCGAUUUAUUUCCAUCUUCAAGUUCAAUUAUCAUUUGAGGAGUCCAGGCUGCUCAUAACCGUGAGCACGACUGAUAUAUCAGUUUUACACUCUGCAGAGAUGGUACAACUUUACCCACAAGCCGUGUAUCCCCUCUAGCCUGGGUCGGCCAAAACCCGUAAACACUUCCGAGGUGAGUGGCUAGGGAUCCACUAUGAGGCUUUCACAAAAUACACUUAAUACGAAGCAACCCGCUAAGGUUUCUAAAGACAAUGGUGGUGGCCCCCUGGGUGAGGUACCUUAGCCAAGAAUACGUCCCCAUGUUAACGUGGGCUGCCAACACCUACCGCUCCCCCUCUUGCCCAUAUUUCAGGUAAGGUUGCCAGGCACUAAGCAUAUAAAGCUAAUUACCAAAGCCAGAGCCAUGAUAGCACUCGUGGUUGCACUGUUUUCCCGGGUGGUCACUCCAUGUUCCAAUUAAUAUGCAAUAAUCUUGUUUAACCAUCGGGUUAACAACAAUAAUGUAAACUUACCAUUUUGGAACAUUAAUAUCAUAAGCGGGAGCGACUGCAUAAAGUUAAGUUGUAGCAAUAGCAUAGCUACGAAGGUAAAGUAUAAUUCCCAGGUUUGAUCAAGGAAUAAGGUUGGAAAGGUUAUCUAAAUAGGUAACCCAUCAAAUUAUGCAUAUAUAUCCAAAAGAAUAAACUUUAUUAAAUGUAUUGUUUGGGAUCAAACAGAGUAUGCAGAUGGAGAAGUCCACUUGCCUUGCUUAUUGAAAACUUGAGGUUCCUCCACGGAUAGGAAUAGAUCUUGAUUCUUAACUACUAGAUCAACCACUGAAUAUCACACAAACAAACAAGAAGAACAAACACCACUCAAUAACAUACCACAUUCACCAUACGUAAAGCUAAAAGAAAACCUAACGAAAAGAGCGUUCGUUUUUCAAAAACGUCGCAAGUAAUGGUUAUAAUAAGAAGAUAUUCUUUUCAAAAAAUGUGUGAUCUAUACUUUAUAAAACAAGACAUGAGCUUAAAAAUAUCUUAAUUAAAAUAUACAAAUAUUGGGUUCAUCAGUUUUAAUCUUUUAUAAAACGUCAUAUGUGAUCUGUCUAAGAUUAAGGGUUUAUAAGACGAUAAAACACGUUAUAACGAUAUAAAACCUUUUUAACCUUUUAUAAAUGAUAUAUGUUAUAUAUCUAAGGUUAAUGAGCUACGAAACGCGUUAUUAAUUUUAGAAGCAUUAUGGAACAUCUUAUAAAUCAUUGUUAAAUAUUCACUUACGAUAAACUAGGAUAUAAGUCUAAAUAAGUUUUAUGUGAAAAGAUCAUUAUUAUUAAACACCUAUUUAUGAAAAGUUAUGAUAUAUGCCUUGGAUGAACUUUUAUGUAAAAGACAAUGAACAAACAACUAUAUUUUAUUUCUAUUAGAAAGUACAUGUCUUAUAUUCUUUAUUAAGAAAGCUAUAUACAAAACAAUAUAUAAACUAACGUUUUAAUUAUUAUUAAAGAAUAUGAACACUAAUUUCCUUAGUUUAUUCUUUUAGAAAAAACUAAGUGAUUCAUAUAAUAUGGACUAAAUUCUAUGAAAUCAUUAAUCAUGUCAUAAAUCUAGUUAAGAACAAAUUGACUAUAAGUUUAAAUAAUACAUUAUGAUAGUUAAUUAUCUUUAAUUCUAUUGUAGGAACAAAUGAUCUAAUUCAUUAGAAAGGAAAUUAUGUAUAAACUAUCAUUUUAGUUUAUAAAAUCAAUGAGACUAAUUAAUCCAUUUUAACACUUAUUUUAGGAAAAAGCUCGAUAUUACAUUUAAACAUUGUGAGACAUAAUAUAUCAUCAUUUAUAAGAACUUGAAUAUAAGGCUAAAUCAAAUUUAUGGGAAAUAUAAUUAGACAUAUAUUUAUCUUUUAUUUUUAUUAAGAAACAUAUGGUUUACAAUUUCUUUUAAAUUUCUAUUUAAGAAGGCUAUACUUAAAUAACUAUGUCAAACAAUAUUAAAUUAUCAAAACAUGAUAUCUAUUGCAAGCGACCUUUUAUAUUUAUUUUAUGUUCCUUAUUUACAAACUACACCUAAUUAAUUAUAACAAACAUAAUAUAAAUUAAUUUAAACACAUGUAAAUCGUUGCAACUAUCAAUUAAAACUAAUCACUGCAUUAACACAUAGCUAUCUAAAUACUAUUUAAUUUAUCUGGAUAUUGAAUACGCAUAAAUCGAUUGUAGCAAACAUAAUUCCAUUUUUUUGCGAAAACAAGUAAAUUAUUGGACAUAUAAAUCGGUGUAAAUUUACGAAGUUAACAAAUUAAUAUUUAAUUUAUUUGAGUCUCACAUACAUAUUUUAAAAUAUAGAAAAAUUGUUGCAGUGGUCAGCUCAAAAUUAAACAUAGACGAUAGGGAGUAGCGUGUAAAAUUAGAACUUUCUUUUACCUUCGGAUUGCGGAUAGAAAACAAAUCGUCGCGGAGCGGAACAGAGAAUGACGAUGACGGUCGGCGCGACAAGCUGGGCGUAGAGGUUCUAGU
rnacentral:lncRNA from 1 species